rnacentral:rRNA from 1 species
AGUGAACGCUGGCGGUAGGCCUAACACAUGCAAGUCGAACGGCAGCACAGUAAGAGCUUGCUCUUACGGGUGGCGAGUGGCGGACGGGUGAGGAAUACAUCGGAAUCUCCUUUUUCGUGGGGGAUAACGUCGGGAAACUUACGCUAAUACCGCAUACGACCUACGGGUGAAAGCAGGGGAUCUUCGGACCUUGCGCGAUUGAAUGAGCCGAUGUCGGAUUAGCUAGUUGGCGGGGUAAAGGCCCACCAAGGCGACGAUCCGUAGCUGGUCUGAGAGGAUGAUCAGCCACACUGGAACUGAGACACGGUCCAGACUCCUACGGGAGGCAGCAGUGGGGAAUAUUGGACAAUGGGCGCAAGCCUGAUCCAGCCAUACCGCGUGGGUGAAGAAGGCCUUCGGGUUGUAAAGCCCUUUUGUUGGGAAAGAAAAGCAGCAGGUUAAUACCCCGCUGUUCUGACGGUACCCAAAGAAUAAGCACCGGCUAACUUCGUG